AACAGGGCAUUUUUGGGUUUUCCCGACAUAACCCGCAGUCCCCCCUUCUUUUUCCUCAUUCUCCUCUCCCCCACACCGGCGACGCCCCAUGCUUCCCGCUCCCCCUCCCUUGCCGCCGCCUUGUUUCCCCCACGCCGCGCUACUGCCUCGUUCCCCUCCGUCAAGUGCCGAUUUUGUGUCGAUCUGCGGCGAGCGGGAGCGUGCCGGAGCAGAGGGAGCGUACUGGAGCACCGGCGAGCCGGAGCUGGGCCUCGACAAGGUCGACUUCUCCAAGCGCGGGAGCGGACACGGCGGUUGUGACAGGCAGAGCAGAGCGAAGCCGGCGCCUACGCACAACCACCGCCUCGUUCUUCCCCGCGGCUGCCGGCGGCCGGAGCUUCCGCCCGUGCACGAGUCGUGCCCAGGUGAAGCUGCAAUCGCUUCCUUUUUUCUCCAGAAUCAAUGAAAGGGACAACAUUUUGGGAUUGCAGGUUCAGUCUUUGUCCAUUACUGUAACAUGUUCAUUACUGUAACUUUUUACUCCAAAGUUCAGAAUUUUAGGAGUAGGUUGAUAUUUCCUGAUCAAUGAUUUGCUAUCGAAAUGUGGCUUACUUACAAGCAACAAAGUUUAAGAGCUUCUCCCUGUAUAUACUUUCCCCAUAAGAUGGCCAAGCAAAUCAUCAUCCCAGUGCAGGGCUUGCUUACGCCUUACUGUUGUCUAAGCUAACGGUUGGUACAGCGACAGCAACAUUUCCAUCUCUCCUGAAAGAAAGCAGUAGUGAUCUUCUAAAGCUACCUCUCCCUGCGCUUUGAAGGCUUUGGCUACCGAUAUCUUUGGUUCUUCGGCGUCUUCGCCUCUUUUAUGUUGCUCCUGCAGAGAAAAACCAGAAGAAUGAAUGAUGUUUGCAGAGAACAUUUGCCUAGUGAUAAAAUGCAACAACAGUGCCUCGUGCAGUCACAUCAGGCAGUUAAGUGUGAAAUAAAGCUUAGAUUAGCCCAUGCUGCUACUGUCCCAGGAAUAUUAGCAAUUCUCUAAAAUCUGUCUCCUAGAUUUUGGAUUCAUGAUGUUUUUGAAAAGGAGAUGGCUCCGACUGAAAUUCCGUGGACACUUUCCAAGAUAAUUUUUGUUUUCUGCAAAGAGUUUUCAAGUGCUAAAGAUUAUUGUCUUGCUAAGGAUUAUUAGCAAGAUUCGUUACACUUCAGUAAUUUUGUCGGUAACACCACAGCUAUCAUUAACCUCUAUAGCCUGUACAAAACUGCCCCUCGAUUUAUUUUUCUUCUGAUGCCAAUGAUUCUGCCCCUCUAUAACCUUUCUCGUCAUCUCAUGAUUCUGCCCAUAAUUCAGAGUUGGGAGUAUCUACCAUAACAAAUUCGCAGUUCUUCACUUAAAUAAUUGGAACAUCCUCAAGCCCCUGUUCUUAUUCUUAUUCUGCAAUCUUAUUUACUCACUGAAUUUUCUUUCUUAUUCUUACUGUCAAAAUUUAGAGUUGGGAGUAGUUGUUGUUGAUUCAGUUUACUGCAUUACCUUGAACAUUUUCAGUUUACUUGAAACUCCUUUGUCUGCUUGAAACAACAUUGAUAAAACGACAUUGAUUCAGUUUACUGCAGUACCUUGAACAUUUUCAGUUUAUUGACAUGAUGUUCAAGAUUGUUUGCUCUACUCCUUGCUGCUUAAGUGGGGGACUGCUGUGUUAUAGCUCAUGCAUGUUCACAGCAAGCCUAAGGAUAAUUGUUGAUCAAUUCUGUAUCUUGUUUCACAGAUAAUAAAGUGACUCAAUUCUUCAUUUCCAGGACAAUGAGCCAGAUGUGGUUGCAGAUUCUAGCGCUGAAGCUUGUCAAAUAAUUGCAACCACAAUCCAUGGUUGAAAUGGUCUGCCUAAACAGGUCGUAGCAGGAACCCGGCCGUUACCUUCUCUGGAGUUGCUCUUGCACAUGCCGACACAUGGAGUGAGGUGGUCAGCAGGAGCUUGGUGCUUAAAUCUGGAGGAUCCAACAAUGCGCUUACUCAAUUAUCCUGUGCAUACGCUUUGUCGCGAUUAAUAGCUGUGAACUUUUGUUUUGGCUUUCUCCCUUUCUGAACCGGAACCUGUCUGUGUUUUUCAGUGUGAAAUGACGCACGUACCUACUGGUGCAUUAUCCUUUCAUGUCUUGUGACCAUCAUCUAUUAUAUCUUGUUAUUUAGCAUGAAUAUAUGUUGGACCAUGUGUGAGCUUGAUUGUGGUGGCCUGCUAAAUGAAAGAUGUCUGGUUUCAUUUCA